ACUCCUACGGGAGGCAGCAGUGGGGAAUAUUGGACAAUGGGGGACCCGUGCAUCCAGCCAUGCCGCGUGUGUGAAGAAGGCCUUAUGGUUGUAAAGCACUUUAAGCGAGGAGGAGGCUACUAGUAUUAAUACUACUGGAUAGUGGACGUUACUCGCAGAAUAAGCACCGGCUAACUCUGUGCCAGCAGCCGCGGUAAUACAGAGGGUGCGAGCGUUAAUCGGAUUUACUGGGCGUAAAGCGUGCGUAGGCGGCCAUUUAAGUCAAAUGUGAAAUCCCCG
rnacentral:rRNA from 1 species